rnacentral:rRNA from 1 species
UACGAAGGGGGCUAGCGUUGUUCGGAAUUACUGGGCGUAAAGCGCACGUAGGCGGGUUGUUAAGUCAGGGGUGAAAUCCUGGAGCUCAACUCCAGAACUGCCUUUGAUACUGGCAACCUAGAGACUGGAAGAGGUUAGUGGAAUUCCCAGUGUAGAGGUGAAAUUCGUAGAUAUUGGGAAGAACACCAGCGGCGAAGGCGGCUAACUGGUCCAGCACUGACGCUGAGGUGCGAAAGCGUGGGGAGCAAACAGG